AUUGAACGCUGGCGGCAUGCCUUACACAUGCAAGUCGAACGGCAGCACGGGUGCUUGCACCUGGUGGCGAGUGGCGAACGGGUGCGUAACACAUCGGAACGUACCUUAUCGUGGGGGAUAACGCAGCGAAAGCUGUGCCAAUACCGCAUACGCCCUGAGGGGGCACGCGGGGGAUCGCAAGACCUCGCGCGAUUAGAGCGGCCGAUGCCUGAUUAGCUGGUUGGUGGGGUAGAAGCCCACCAAGGCGACGAUCAGUAGCUGGUCGGAGAGGACGAUCAGCCACACUGGGACUGAGACACGGCCCAGACUCCUACGGGAGGCAGCAGUGGGGAAUUUUGGACAAUGGGGGCAACCCUGAUCCAGCAAUGCCGCGUGAGUGAAGAAGGCCUUCGGGUUGUAAAGCUCUUUUGUCAGGGAAGAAACACCGGCUCUAACACAGUCUGGGAAUGACGGUACCUGAAGAAUAAGCACCGGCUAACUACGUGCCAGCCGCCGCGGUAA
rnacentral:rRNA from 1 species